rnacentral:rRNA from 1 species
AUACAGAGGGUGCAAGCGUUAAUCGGAAUUACUGGGCGUAAAGCGCGCGUAGGCGGUUUAAUCAGUCGGAUGUGAAAGCCCCGGGCUCAACCUGGGAACUGCAUUCGAUACUGUUAAGCUAGAGUAUGGUAGAGGGAAGUGGAAUUCCAGGUGUGGCGGUGAAAUGCGUAGAUAUCUGGAGGAACAUCAGUGGCGAAGGCGACUUCCUGGACCAAUACUGACACUGAGGUGCGAAAGCGUGGGUAGCAAACAGGAUUAGAAACCCUAGUAGUCC